AGCCCCACCCCCACGUCAAGGGCAACAGCGAAGUGGUUCCUCAGGUGAUCCAUGUGUUCCCUCAACUUGUCCUAUAUCCACCUUUAUUUUUCUCACCAAUUCAUCCACCAGUGAUGGUGCCGCUCAAGCAGAGAUGACACUAGCAUGCCGGCGUUGGGGAUCUGUGUGCCAGGGUUGAGGGUUGAGGGAACCUGACUGAAUUCUAAUUUUCAGGUCAAUACACGUUAUAGAACAUGGAGAUGUGGCAAUUGUGUGUCUUCGAUGUGUCUUCAGUUUUUGGCGAUGAAUCAAGGGUCCUAGAUGGGGACUCUGUUGAGUUCAAAGUGGAGGAAAACAUGAAUGGUAAUGGGAAUAAAGAAAAGAAAAUAUCUCAAAAGAUCAGUACAGUUUUCAGGAAGGGAAUCGGUGGAUAAACAAUAUUAGAGAAAUGUUUGACGAAGGAGCAUCAUUCCACUGAGGCGGCUGCAUUGCUUAUUGGCGGCAUGGAGAGACAAUUGUUGGCUGUAUAAAUUAGUCUUGUUUUUAAAUUGCUUCAUCAUCAAUGUGUAAAUAUUUAUAUAU